CUAGACCUGAAAUCAGUCGAGGACACCCGCUGAAUUUAAGCAUAUUAUUAAGCGGAGGAAAAGAAAAUAACUAUGAUUCCCUUAGUAACGGCGAGUGAAGAGGGAGGUGCUCAAAGUGAAAAUCGUGGUACCUCUUAUGGUACCGCGAGUUGUAGCCUCUAGAGGCGUUACCAGUGGAGGGGCAGGUCUAAGUUUCUUGGAACAGACUUUUCAGAG
rnacentral:rRNA from 1 species